AGUGAACGCUGGCGGUAGGCCUAACACAUGCAAGUCGAACGGCAGCACAGUAAGAGCUUGCUCUUACGGGUGGCGAGUGGCGGACGGGUGAGGAAUACAUCGGAAUCUACUUUUUCGGGGGGGAUAACGUAGGGAAACUUACGCUAAUACCGCAUACGACCUACGGGUGAAAGCAGGAGAUCUUCGGACCUUGCGCGACUGAAUGAGCCGAUGUCGGAUUAGCUAGUUGGCGGGGUAAAGGCCCACCAAGGCGACGAUCCGUAGCUGGUCUGAGAGGAUGAUCAGCCACACUGGAACUGAGACACGGUCCAGACUCCUACGGGAGGCAGCAGUGGGGAAUAUUGGACAAUGGGCGCAAGCCUGAUCCAGCCAUACCGCGUGGGUGAAGAAGGCCUUCGGGUUGUAAAGCCCUUUUGUUGGGAAAGAAAAGCAGCAGGUUAAUCCCCCGCUGUUCUGACGGUACCCAAAGAAUAAGCACCGGCUAACUUCGUG
rnacentral:rRNA from 1 species